rnacentral:rRNA from 1 species
AGAGUUUGAUCCUGGCUCAGAUUGAACGCUGACGGCAUGCUUUACACAUGCAAGUCGAACGGCAGCACGGGGGCAACCCUGGUGGCGAGUGGCGAACGGGUGAGUAAUGCAUCGGAACGUGUCCUGUAAUGGGGGAUAACCUGGCGAAAGCCAGGCUAAUACCGCACACGUCCUGAGGGAGAAAGCGGGGGCUCGCAAGACCUCGUGUUAUAGGAGCGGCCGAUGUCGGAUUAGCUAGUUGGUGGGGUAAAGGCCUACCAAGGCGACGAUCCGUAGCGGGUCUGAGAGGACGGCCCGCCACACUGGGACUGAGACACGGCCCAGACUCCUACGGGAGGCAGCAGUGGGGAAUUUUGGACAAUGGGGGCAACCCUGAUCCAGCCAUGCCGCGUGAGUGAAGAAGGCCUUCGGAUUGUAAAGCUCUUUCGGCCGGGAAGAAAUCGCGCCAGCUAAUACCUGGUGUGGAUGACGGUACCGGAAGAAGAAGCACCGGCUAACUACGUGCCAGCCGCCGCGGUAAUUC